GCGGACAUGGUUCACGGUGCACCACUGCAUUCUAUGAAAUGGUGCAAAGAGGUUAAAGCAGUUGAACGGGGUUCGACUCCCCGUGUCCGCC